UACAGAGGUGGCAAGCGUUGCUCGGUAUCACUGGGCUUAAAGGGCGCGUAGGCGGUGCGGUGCGGUUUCGGGUGAAACUCCCUCGGCCCAACCGAGGAACAGCCGGAGCAACGGCCGCGCUAGACGGCAUCAGGGGACAGUGGAACUCCCGGUGGAGCGGUGAAAUGCGUAGAUAUCGGGAGGAAGCGCCGGUGGCGAAAGCGACUGGUCUGGGGUGCAUGUGACGCUGAGGCGCGGAAAGCCAGGGAUCAAACAGG
rnacentral:rRNA from 1 species